rnacentral:lncRNA from 1 species
UUUUUUUUUUUCAUUUAUUUUGAAAGGUGCAUUCACCAUGGUUACCAUUGUUUUCAAUGUCACAGUUCUCCAUAUCUCAAAGGCACGGAAAACAUUCUGUACUUUCAAAUCAGGGAGCAGACAAAUACAUUUUUUUAUUGUAACUUAUUUUUCACUAGAACCUUUAUGUUCAAAUCUACAAUAUGAUUAGUCACCUGUACAGACUGAAAUCUGGAUAGCUGGAGAUGUUUUUAUUCAGUUGCUUUUAAACAAACAGCAACCAAACAUCAUUUAAAAUACGUGGAUUAAAAUGUCAUACCUCCACAUCAGUAGAUUUAAACUUGCUAAAGCAAGUUCUCUCGGCAUCUCCGUAAAAUAAUGUGUUCUUUAUAAAAAAACAAAAACAAAAAGCUUUAAAUCACAGUCUAAAUACUGUCAUAUACACUGCCUCACACUUAAUUGCAGUGAAACCUGUCAUAAUCCACCCAGCAGAGAAUGUACAGGUUGCUUUCAGGUAAAUAUAGAAUUCAAUAUUCAUGUAAUAUUAACUUUGUGAUAAAAGAUUAUUUCUAAAUAAUUCUUUUUUGUUUGUUUGUUUGUUUUUUUGGCUUUUUACAGCAGCCCCUGAGGCAUAUGGAGCGGCCCUAGAAAAGGCAAAAAAACAGAAAAAAAAAAAAAAUGCAUGGCUAAAGCAUAUGUUCUGCAAAGAAAAUGUAUGAAAGCCAAUAAGUAAAUCUUAGAGCAAUGAACACAAACACCAACCACAGUCUUGGCAUGGUUUUCACUCAGACACCUGACUCCUUUGAAACACUGCACACACCGUGGAGGGGAUCACAAAUUAGUCAGGUCAUAAAGUUGUGCACCUGGAAAUAUUUACUAUACUAAUAAGUUACCCAGAAGGUAGGAAAAUCAUGGUGUCUUACAAAUGGAGUGAUGGAGUUGAUUAUUUUAAUAAAAAGUCAAACCACUGAUGAAAUAACGAAAACUUCCUUACACAGUUGAAGGAACUCUUGAACCAAAGUCACAGCAUCUUCAGGGCUUUAUCUUCGUUGCAAAAUGGAACUCUCCACAUUAUUACAGGCUGCUAUGGAACCUGCAGAAUAUUGCCAAAGGUUUAUUUUAGCCAUUCCUCCAACUCUGAUUAGUUACACCAAAGCUAUAAAAAUUAAACAGAAGUGAUUCAGCUUCAGCAGCCCCAGCCGGUUAUGACAGGCCAUCAUGGGAGGACCUGGAGACCUACAAAAGGAACCUGGCCCCUUAACGAGGUUUGCAUAAGUGGGUCAGCAGGCACCUGUGACAGGGUUCGGCCUCUUGAAGAAACAUAUAUUCCCUGCAGCAGCCUGGACCAAUUUUCGACAGCUGGGAAUUGAACCUUUAGGCUUUUAAAAGUCAUUGGUCAGAGUUCCCGUUGUGGUUCAGUGGUUAAUGAACCUGACUAGUUAGUAUCCAUGAGGACACAGGCUAGAUCCCUGGCCUCGCUCAGUGGGAUAAAGAUCCAGCGUUGCCGUGAGCUGUGGUAUAGGUCGCAGAUGGGGCUCGGAACCCGCAUUGCGGUGGCUGUGGUGUAGGCCGGUGGCUACAGCUCUGAUUUGACCCCUAGCCUGGGAACUUCCAUAUGCCAAAGGAGCAGCCCUAAAAAGACAAACCACACACACCAAAAAAAUAAAUACAUAAAAGUCACUGGUUGUUUUUUUUUUCUAGAAGAAAACAUAAAUAUUUUCGCCACGUUUUAGGUUGUACACGGAGAAAGUGUGUGUGUGUAUAAUAUUAAUAUUUCUUUUCUCUUGAAAGAGAUAAAGUAACUUUAAGGUUACGCUUACUAAACAUUUAAUGUUGAAAGAUUCAAUGAAAAGGUCAUUCUCAAAUGUGUAGUUCAUUUCUUGAGCCCAGCAACUGCAGGGGGAAAGAAUAAUUACUAGCAGAAAUACCUAAGCUAAUUUACCGUGUUUUAGGAAAGUUUAAAAAUUUUGGAAUAGCCAUCAACUUGACAUCUCUGAUAACUUUAAAGAUCUUUAAGUAUGUGUGCUUAAAUAUCAGAAACACAAUUGAAAAGCCACGUCAUCUUUCUACAGUCCUUGUACUAUAUGUAUACGUGUAGUGCUGAACCACCAAAAGAAACAGAGAUGAGCCUUUAGAAAGAACUCAUGACUUUUUCUUCUUGACAGAAAUCUUGUUUUGAAAAUAUUCAGCUCCGAUUCGACCCCUAGCCUGGGAACCUCCAUAUGCCGCGGGAGCGGCCCAAGAAAUAGCAAAAAAAAAAAAAAAAGAAAAUAUUCAGCAAGGAAAUGCAAGGUUCCUAUCAAAACAGUGGCAAAGCAGUUUAAUGUUCUUAGAUUUGCAGUCCAGCCCUCUUUGUGGGAGCAGAAAGCUCACAUGCCCUACCUAGACAGCCUGUCUUCUGCUCCUGUUCAAGUGUACAAAGUCUUCUGCUUAAAGGACCAAUCAGUCUACAUCCAAGGCAAGCAAGAGAGCUCACCGUUUCAAUUAGCACAGGCACAGAAUUUUGGUUUUGGUUUAGUUUUUUUUUUUUUUUUUUUUUUUUUUUGCUUUUCCAAGACACAUGGAUCAUGUGGCAUAAAAAAGCAAACAUAACAGAGCUAGUUGUCUAUUAACUUGUUUUAAUUGAUGUGGGGAAAGUGCCUAAAUAAGUUUUCAUUAAAUUUGUCCAAAGACAAACAUUAAAGUUAUCUUGCUAAUCAAUGGUGGGUAACUUUAGUUCUAAGCAGUCUCCGCGAAUAAAAACAAUAGUUCCAACAGCUCUUCCUACCCUGUAC